rnacentral:snRNA from 1 species
UCCCUCCGAAGUUUCCCUC